CCUACGGGAGGCUGCAGUGAGGAAUAUUGGUCAAUGGUCGCGAGCCUGAACCAGCCAAGUAGCGUGAAGGAUGACUGCCCUACGGGUUGUAAACCUCUUUUAUAAAGGAAUACAGUGAGGCACGUGUGCCUUUUUGUAUGUACUUUAUGAAUAAGGAUCGGCUAACUCCGUGCCAGCAGCCGCGGUAAUACGGAGGAUCCGAGCGUUAUCCGGAUUUAUUGGGUUUAAAGGGUGCGUAGAUGGGUUGUUAAGUCAGUGGUGAAUGUUUGCGGGUCAACCGUAAAAUUGAAAUUGAUCCUGGGAGUAUUGAGUACGGUUUAGGUAGGCGGAAUUCGUGGUGUAGCGGUGAAA
rnacentral:rRNA from 1 species